GAUGAACGCUAGCGGGAGGCUUAACACAUGCAAGUCGAGGGGCAGCAUAGGGUAGCAAUACUCUGAUGGCGACCGGCAAACGGGUGAGUAACGCGUAUGCAACCUACCCUGUACAGGGGGAUAACCCGGAGAAAUUCGGACUAAUAUCCCGUAAUAAUAUCCGGAGGCAUCUUUGGAUAUUUAAAGUUCCGACGGUACGGGAUGGGCAUGCGUAACAUUAGCUGGUUGGUAAGGUAACGGCUUACCAAGGCUAUGAUGUUUAGGGGUCCUGAGAGGGUGGUCCCCCACACUGGUACUGAGACACGGACCAGACUCCUACGGGAGGCAGCAGUGAGGAAUAUUGGUCAAUGGGCGCAAGCCUGAACCAGCCAUCCCGCGUGCAGGAAGACGGCCCUAUGGGUUGUAAACUGCUUUUCCUAGGGAGAGAAACUUAACGCACGUGUUGCGUGACUGACGGUACCCUGGGAAUAAGCAUCGGCUAACUCCGUG
rnacentral:rRNA from 1 species